GUAGGGAAUCUUCCGCAAUGGACGAAAGUCUGACGGAGCAACGCCGCGUGAGUGAUGAAGGUCUUCGGAUUGUAAAGCUCUGUUAAUCGGGACGAAAGAGCCUAGUGUGAAUAAUGCUAGGAAGUGACGGUACCGGAAUAGAAAGCCACGGCUAACUACGUGCCAGCAGCCGCGGUAAUACGUAGGUGGCAAGCGUUGUCCGGAAUUAUUGGGCGUAAAGCGCGCGCAGGCGGAUCUGCCAGUCUGUCUUAAAAGUUCGGGGCUUAACCCCGUGAUGGGAUGGAAACUACAGAUCUAGAGUAUCGGAGAGGAAAGUGGAAUUCCUAGUGUAGCGGUGAAAUGCGUAGAUAUUAGGAAGAACACCAGUGGCGAAGGCGACUUUCUGGACGAAAACUGACGCUGAGGCGCGAAAGCCAGGGGAGCGAACGGGAUUAGAAACCCUGGUAGUCC
rnacentral:rRNA from 1 species